UACACAGUACAGUUCCUAGGCUGGUGUU
rnacentral:sRNA from 1 species